rnacentral:lncRNA from 1 species
AAAAAUGCUACAAGAUAGCAUCCAAAAAGCUUUUCUAGACAUUGGCUUAGGCCAAGUAGUCAUGACUAAUGCCCCAAAAGCAAACGCAAAAAUAUAAAAAUAGAAUAAGAUCAAUAGGACCUAAUGAAACCGAAAAUCUUCUGCAAGGCAGAAGAAAUAUCAGCAGGGUAAACACACAACCCACAGUAUAGGAAACAGUAGUCACAAACUAGGCAUCUGACAAAGGACUAAUGUCCAGACUCCAAAGGAACUGAAAGAAAUCAGCAAGAAGAAAAGGUGCCAUUUACCACCUUCCUGACUCAUUGGCCAGAACCAAUGUUAGUGGAAUUAACAUAUGCCCCACCCCAAGUGACUUCUAAAGGGCUAACUCACCACAAGGGAGUCAGAGCAGAUCUUGGACUGAGACCUACAGGACACAGCGACUCUUAAAUAGGUGGCUCACCAGGAGAAAGGCAUAGCAGAACCUGGACUGAGACCUACGGGAGACAGAUGCUGCCAUGGGGUUGUAGCCCCACAACUUGCCAGUCUGUAUGCUUCCCUAGAGGUUUGAGCAGCGGAGUACUAAAGAAGCAAGCCACACCCCCACUCCACCUCCUGUGAGGGGGACAAGGAAACUUUUCCCAUUUCAACUGGUGGCUCGUCUGGGAUCUCGGAAGAUCAUCCUGGCCUGCUAAGACCCAUCCUGUGCUUAUAAAAACCCCAAGACCCUAGCAGUCAGACACACAGGAGGCUUGACGUCGAGAGGAGCACAUCAGCGGAGGAACACACAGGCGGCUGGACAUGAAGAGGAACAUGACAACAGGCACCAGCACACCAGCAGGGCACCGACUUAUAGAACGAUGUGGAUUUUGCCUGGGGCAGUCAGAGGAGAGCCAGGGCUGCUGAACGGCCCCAAUCCAGGGAGAAACCAAUCUCCUUUCUGGCUCCCCCAUCUGCUGAGAGCUACUUCCACUCAAUAAAACCUUGCACUCAUUCUCCACGUCCACGUGUGACCUGAUUCUUCUGGAAUGCCAAGGCAAGAACCCUAGGAUACAGAAAGCCCUCUGUCCUUGUGAUAAGGAAUGUGUCUAAUUGAGCUAGUUACCACAAGUUGCCUAUAAAUGGCAAAACUAAAAGACCACACGACCACUGGGGCUUCAGGAACUGUAAACAUCCACCCCUACACACUGCCAGUAUGAGAAAAAUUUGCUGAUAUGUUUUCUGCUGACCUGAUGACAAUGUUCCUAUGGUCACACUAACCACUGCUGGGUAAUUUUCAUCAUGACUCUCGUUUUCAUCUGCUGAAACCAGCCUCCCCAAGAAAGACAACUAUUUUCAAACUGAGGAAAUAAAGUGUUACUAAACCACAGUGUUCUCUCAUGGCUGUUCCUGGAGUUCUUCAAAACACUUGAUAUUAUAAAAUAGAAUUAUUACAGAUCACUGUAUGUUAUGGAUUUAGUCAAAAUGAUAAUUUAAAAUAUGGUUUAAAAUAAAAAACUUUAUUUUCCAAAGAAGAUAGUUUUUUAAACAAGAAUAUCCAAUAAAGACAGUAUGAGGUCAGCUGA